UACGGAGGGGGCUAGCGUUGUUCGGAAUUACUGGGCGUAAAGCGCGCGUAGGCGGCUUUGUAAGUUAGAGGUGAAGGCCCGGGGCUCAACCCCGGAACUGCCUUUAAGACUGCAUCGCUUGAAUCCAGGAGAGGUGAGUGGAAUUCCGAGUGUAGAGGUGAAAUUCGUAGAUAUUCGGAAGAACACCAGUGGCGAAGGCGGCUCACUGGCCUGGUAUUGACGCUGAGGUGCGAAAGCGUGGGGAGCAAACAGG
rnacentral:rRNA from 1 species